AGUCGACGCGGUUUCCUCGCAGGGGAAACUGAGUGGCGAACGGGUGAGUAACGCGUGGGUGACCUACCUUCGAGUGGGGGAUAACGUCCCGAAAGGGACGCUAAUACCGCAUGACAUCCUGUCCUUGAAUGGAUGGAGAUCAAAGCUGGGGAUCGCAAGACCCGGCGCUUGAUGAGGGGCCCGCGUCCGAUUAGCUAGUUGGUGAGGUAACGGCUCACCAAGGCGACGAUCGGUAUCCGGCCUGAGAGGGCGGACGGACACACUGGGACUGAGACACGGCCCAGACUCCUACGGGAGGCAGCAGUGGGGAAUUGUUCACAAUGGGCGCAAGCCUGAUGACGCAAUGCCGCGUGGAGGAUGAAGGUCUUCGGAUUGUAAACUCCUGUUGCCAGGGACGAAUGGCUCCGACCUAAUACGUCGGAGAAUGACGGUACCUGGUGAGGAAGCCCCGGCUAACUCUGUGCCAGCAGCCGCGGUAAUACAGAGGGGGCGAGCGUUGUUCGGAAUUACUGGGCGUAAAGGGCGCGUAGGCGGCCUUCUAAGUCGAACGUGAAAUCCCCGGGCUCAACCCGGGAACUGCGUCCGAUACUGGGAGGCUUGAAUCCGGGAGAGGGGUGUGGAAUUCCAGGUGUAGCGGUGAAAUGCGUAGAUAUCUGGAGGAACACCGGUGGCGAAGGCGGCAUCCUGGACCGGUAUUGACGCUGAGGCGCGAAAGCUAGGGGAGCAAACGGGAUUAGAUACCCCGGUAGUCCUAGCCCUAAACGAUGAAUGCUUGGUGUGGCGGGUAUCGAUCCCUGCCGUGCCGAAGCUAACGCAUU
rnacentral:rRNA from 1 species